GAUGAAGAACGUAGCGAAAUGCGAUACGUAAUGUGAAUUGCAGAAUUCAGUGAAUCAUCGAGUCUUUGAACGCACAUUGCGCCCCUUGGUAUCCCGAGGGGCAUGCCUGUUCGAGCGUCAUUUCACCACUCAAGCCUGGCUUGGUGUUGGGCGACGUCCCCUUUGGGGACGCGCCUCGAAACGCUCGGCGGCGUGGCACCGGCUUUAAGCGUAGCAGAAUCUUUCGCUUUGGAAGUCGGGGCCCCGUCUGCCGGAAGACCUACUCGCAAGGUUGACCUCGGAUCAGGCAGGGAUACCCGCUGAACUUAAGCAUAUCAAUAAGCGGAGGA
rnacentral:misc_RNA from 1 species